rnacentral:rRNA from 1 species
UACGAAGGGGGGCUAGCGUUGUUCGGAAUUACUGGGCGUAAAGGGCUCGUAGGUGGCCAACUAAGUCAGACGUGAAAUCCCCUCGGCUUAACCGGGGAACUGCGUCUGAUACUGGAUGGCUUGAGUUUGGGAGAGGGACGCGGAAUUCCAGGUGUAGCGGUGAAAUGCGUAGAUAUCAGGAAGAACACCAAUGGCGAAAGCAGCUCUCUGGGACGGUACUGACGCUGAGACGCGAAAGCGUGGGGAGCGAACAGG